rnacentral:lncRNA from 1 species
UUGCGUUUUAUUUACAUUCCCGUUAGUCAACGCAGUAAAUCAACCUGAUAGUAGUGGUCACCUCAAUGCCUCCUUUGUGAGAAUACGAUUGAGCAUUGUCAUCCAGGAGAGACAGACGCCAGCAUGCUGUGCGGGAGACAGCUUGAAAGAGUGCCAGCGUAAACACUCCCAGACCACAUGUUCUCCCAGGGCAGAGGGGCUGGCCUCUCUCCAGGCACAUCUGCACACAAUCCCCCAGCUUUUAGCGAGCCAGCCGAGGAGACAGAAUGGGGCAAAAGGAGGGAGCAGAGGAGAGGGUGAGAGAAGAGUUCCCAGACAGGGAGAAAACCUGCUUCUCACAGCAAUAGUACCAUCAAUGUGGGAAGUUAUGAUGUCUGAAGGGAAAAAUGUAAAGCAGCGUACAGAGGGAGGAGCGCAAGAAUCUUCUCCCAGCAUGCAAAGUUAAUAAAAAUUGUGUGUGAAGGCUGACCACCAUCUUUGCAAGUGACAUCUGUAUCACACCACUAGAUUCACAUGCCAAGGUCUGCUUGGCAACAUUCAUUACCCAACCUGUCUAUAUCCUUGAGAAGACGGAUUGCAACAUAAAUCAAGCCCUCCUCUCUCACACAUCCUGGCUCUGCAGCUGCUUGUGCAUGUGGUAAACUGGGAUGGUUUUAUCCAGCACAUACACUUUUGAAAACUACCAUUUUAGCUCAUGCUAUGCCUAAAUGUACAUAAAACUUCUGCCAUCCAUCUCUGAAACCCGACCCAACAGCUUUUCUUGUUUUCUGGCACCCAGUUUGCAGCUGAAGUGUUUCUUUGUGCGUAUUUUCACAGAGAGGUAAUUACUGGGCAAGCUAUGCUGACAACACCUGAGGAAUGCAGAGCAUGCACCAGCAGCCUGUGUUCUCAUAACCCCCCAUUACUCACCCCAACUCACUUCUCACCCAUCUGCAAGCCCCCUUCCCCCCAUCAAGAGCUAGUUCACCAUGACAUUCUCACAGGAGUCUUUGAUUUGUUGAACAUGCAGGUGUAGUGUUUAGUUUUAUUGAUGUUUAACCAGGAAACUUCAACCAAAGAUAAUUCAGUGGCUUGAUCACAUCAUUUGCUGUAGUCAGUUAUUAUCAGUCAAGGUUUUUUCUUUUUUAACCAACUAGCGUACAAAACCCAAUCUAAACCCUGCAGCAGCUCCACAACUCCCCACAGGCCCCACUAUUCCCGUUAUUGGUGAAAUCUGAGUGUUGGCUGGCUCAGGUUCUCUGCUGCCUGAGUCACUCCCCAAACUGUCCUUGAGCUCAUAGGAACUCACAGCCCAUCUGGCUGAACACUCGCACACACAUAUCAAAACAUUGCAUAGACUUGAACAGGGGGAGUGAACCACUCUGGGUGACCUAAUUGAGAUCUGAAAAUGUUCCAGUUAGGGAAAAAAAAGCAUUUAUAUCUGGCAGGAGAGAACAAUGUUGAUACAGAACAAUGUUAUUCUUAUGCAAAUGAAACCAAUGCAUCAAGAUUUGACAUUAUACAACUGCAUGUGUGUGGGAGACAGAGAGAUAGAUGGGGAGAGAGCGAUAAAGAUUAUGAAUUCAGCUGAGCCUCUCCCGUCUGUCUGACUAGACUGUCAUGAUGAAAUCAGGAUGAAAUCCCUUGUGCAUGUAGAUCAACAUAAGGCCUGUCCUCUGUCUUUCUGUGCUGCACAGCUCUGCAGAUGUACUGUAGAUGUGUUGUGCAAAAACCAUGGCUAGAAAAACACACUGAAUGGCUGAGUGAACAAUUGCAUGUAUUUUUUCUACACACAUGAGGGCUAAUCAGUCAGGGUAUGCAAGACGAGGCAAAAGGGUCAUGGGACUUAGUUGCCAAGCAACCUCUGUUGAUACAAACAUUUUUUUGUCGUAUGAUGGGAGCCAUCUAAAAGUAAGACAGUGACUGAAAAAGAUACAUAAAAAUGAUGAUGGAGGUACAGUCUUAUCUUCCAGUGUGCAGAUAAACACACUAUAAGCAUUAUAAAUGAGUAGUCAUGAGGACAUUCAUUGGAUAGUGAGUGAUAUUCAAGCUCCACUAUUAUAGGCAAAAUAAUAUCUUGAAAAGAGUUGGGUAUUUUAGAAGCAUUAUAGCAUGAUAUUAGGUUUUCAAUAUGUGUGACUUUGGUUGUAUAAACAAUAUUUCUGACGUACAUACUUGUUUAUUUCAAAAGAAGGGUAAGGCAACAAUCAUAGUACUCCAUCUUAGAAGUACGCAAAGCAAAAAGAUAAUCGAUUGAAAUUACUGUAAUUCAUACGUAUAGACUUUCCCCCCCUUUUUUUUUUGCACUUUCAGUUAUAUUGUUCUUUGACUUGUUCUUCAUAUUCUCAAGACAAUAUUCUGUCCACUGCAACUAUAAGUACUCCUACAACUCUCUAGAUAAUAGUCAGUGAGCAAGCCGCUAAAAAUGGAUGGAUGCUUUUUGUCCAGUGCACAUGAUGGUCUGUAUGCUGUUAUAAAGCACUGCUUUCCUACCUUAGACCAACGUUUAAUUAGUUUGUACAUAAUGAUAAAUACUUUACUUCACUAUUUUUGAAUUGGAAUAAGUUAAAUGGGAUCAAAAUUUACCAAUUUGAGGUAAAAUAAAAGUAUCUUGGUAAACUAGCGCUUACUAAACAGAGCAUUAAUUUCAUUUAAUUAAUUUAACUGAAUUUCCCUUCAAGGAUAGUGUAGCGACUGCUUUCCUCGUUGGGGUUUAGGCUCACAUGCAUCUGUGACUUGCUUGAAUGAUCAGUCCGAUUUGAGUGUUAGAAAAAAUGAUUUAUUGUUCAAAAAAGGGGAAAGAAAACACGCUGCUCUGGGUCCAAUACUUUUGCCUUCAACUGAAAAGGUGAAAUGAGGUUAAAACAGGAUGAAUGAAUGAAUCAGUGAAAAACAAUGAGAAACGGUCAAAAAACGAUCAAAAUGAUCAAAAUGAUCAAAACGCUCAAAACGUUCAAAACGUUCAAAACGCAGUCAACAGAAAAUUAUCAGUGCUUACCAAACCCCUUGUCUGACUGCACCUGUGAGUUUUAAAUAACCCGCCAAACAUCCCAAACCCACACCCCUCAGUGAUGAUCCCGGAAGUGACGUGCCUACAAAAUUAAAACUUUCAAAAAAUAUAUUUUGGCUCCUACAGAUAGAUAAAGUUCUUCUUCCUUACUUUUAAGCUCCAUUAAGAAGCGGUCCCUUAAAAUAUUUGAUCAUUUCACACUGAAAAGAAAAACAUGAUGCUAUUUUUUGCAUCUAUCUUCAUUUGUAAUCAGAUAUUACAAAUAAUUUAGUUCAAGGUUUUUAAAUGACAUGUUAAAUGAUCCACUACUACUUGGUGACAAAUCAACCAUUUAACCAUAGUGGUUUUAUCACACAAAGACUUGUAGAUAACUGUUAAAAAUGUUCAACAGCUAUUUUAUGCAAGAAACCCUACUAUCAUUACUUUAAGCCAACACUUUACUCUAUUCAUCCACUGUUUUUAGCUCUCAACCAACCCC